UGUGUAGAGGGGAGUGAGGGUACC
rnacentral:miRNA from 1 species